AAGUCGUAACAAGGUUUCCGUAGGUGAACCUGCGGAAGGAUCAUUAUUGUAUAACCGAGGUGCGAGGGCUGUCGCUGACCCGAAAGGUCGUGCACGCCCGAGUGCCCUCACACACAUCCAUCUCACCCCUAUGUGCACCACCGCGUGGGUCCCCCUUUGGCUUGUUCGGAGGGGGGCUUACGUUUUCACACAAACUUUGUAUGCAGUGUAGAAUGUAUUUUUUGUUUUUGCGAUCACGCAAUCAAUACAACUUUCAACAACGGAUCUCUUGGCUCUCGCAUCGAUGAAGAACGCAGCGAAAUGCGAUACGUAAUGUGAAUUGCAGAAUUCAGUGAAUCAUCGAAUCUUUGAACGCACCUUGCGCCCCUUGGCAUUCCGAGGGGCACACCCGUUUGAGUGUCGUGAAAUUCUCAAAAACCUUUUUCUUUUUGGGAAAGGGUUUUUGGACUUGGAGGCUUUUUGCUGGCUUCACCUUGAAGUGAGCUCCUCCUAAAUGAAUCAGUGGGGUCCGCUUUGCCGAUCCUUGACGUGGUAAGAUGUUUCUGCGUCUUUGGGUUUGGCACUGUCACCUGCUUCUAACUGUCUCAUUGACAAUGAUGGUGCUCCGGUCACCACCGCUCUUAUCGGUGGGAGGCUUGACCCACAAAAACAAAACCUUGACCUCAAAUCGGGUGAGACUACCCGCUGAACUUAAGCAUAUCAAUAAGCGGAGGAAAAGAAACUAACAAGGAUUCCCCUAGUAACUGCGAGUGAAGCGGGAAAAGCUCAAAUUUAAAAUCUGGUGGCCUUUGGCCAUCCGAGUUGUAAUCUAGAGAA
rnacentral:misc_RNA from 1 species